UGGAAGGAAAGCCCCCAUUGCACCUGCCUCAAGGUCAAGGAUAUGUACAAGAAUGAGGUCCAAGAAAUCCUAACAAGAGAGCAUGUCCCUUGGAAGAGAGAAAUGAGCAGUUUUGCCACCUGAAGAUGGGAGUGGAAGACCAGGGAGCAGCUGAACAGAUAAAGGCCCUUCGGUUACCGCUCCUCUCUUUGGCUUUUUCCCUGA